GAUGGUGUAGCUCAGCGGUUAGAGCGGUUGACUGUUAAUCAACGGGGCGAUGGUUCAAAUCCAUCCGCCAUCGCCA
rnacentral:tRNA from 1 species